rnacentral:tRNA from 1 species
UCCAGGAUAGCCUAGUGGACAUGGCAUCUUCCCGGUAAGCGGAACUUUAUGGUUUUGAUUCCCAUCCCUGGAU